rnacentral:rRNA from 1 species
UGGGGAAUCUUGCACAAUGGGGGCAACCCUGAUGCAGCGACGCCGCGUGAGCGAUGAAGCCCUUCGGGGCGUAAAGCUCUUUCGACCGGAACGAUAAUGACGGUACCGGGAGAAGAAGCUGCGGCUAACUACGUGCCAGCAGCCGCGGUAAUACGUAGGCAGCAAGCGUUGUUCGGAGUUACUGGGCGUAAAGAGUGCGUAGGCGGUUUUCUAAGUUCGGUGUGAAAUCUCCCGGCUUAACUGGGAGGGUGCGCCGAAGACUGGGAAGCUGGAGUGUGGGAAAGGCAGGCGGAAUUCCUGGUGUAGCGGUGAAAUGCGUAGAUAUCAGGAGGAACACCUGCGGUGUAGACAGCGUUCUGGACCAAAACUGACGCUGAGGCACGAAAGCGUGGGUAGCAAACA